CCUACGGGAGGCAGCAGUGAGGAAUAUUGGUCAAUGGGCGAGAGCCUGAACCAGCCAAGUCGCGUGAAGGAUGACGGCCCUACGGGUUGUAAACUUCUUUUGUCAGGGAGCAAUUGAGUCCACGUGUGGGCUUAGCGAGAGUACCUGAAGAAAAAGCAUCGGCUAACUCCGUGCCAGCAGCCGCGGUAAUACGGAGGAUGCGAGCGUUAUCCGGAUUUAUUGGGGUUAAAGGGUGCGUAGGCGGAAUAUCAAGUCAGCGGUAAAAAUUCGGGGCUCAACCCCGUCGUGCCGUUGAAACUGAUGUUCUUGGGUGGGCGAGAAGUAUGCGGAAGGCGUGGUGUAGCGGUGAAAUGCAUAGAUAUUGGGAAGAACACCAGCGGCGAAGGCGAUUCACUGGACUGUAACUGACACUGAGGCACGAAAGCGUGGGGAGCAAACAGGAUUAGAUACCCCUGUAGUC
rnacentral:rRNA from 1 species